rnacentral:rRNA from 1 species
UACGUAGGGUGCAAGCGUUGUCCGGAAUUAUUGGGCGUAAAGAGCUCGUAGGCGGUCUGUCGCGUCUGCUGUGAAAACUCGGGGCUUAACCCCGGGCCUGCAGUGGGUACGGGCAGACUAGAGUGUGGUAGGGGGGGACUGGAAUUCCUGGUGUAGCGGUGGAAUGCGCAGAUAUCAGGAGGAACACCGAUGGCGAAGGCAGGUCUCUGGGCCAUUACUGACACUGAGAAGCGAAAGCAUGGGGAGCGAACAGG